rnacentral:rRNA from 1 species
UUAAGCAUAUCAAUAAGCGGAGGAAAAGAAACUAACAAGGAUUCCCCUAGUAACUGCGAGUGAAGCGGGAAAAGCUCAAAUUUUGAAUCUGGCGGUCUUUUGGCCGUCCGAGUUGUAAUCUAGAGAAGUGUUUUCCGCGCUGGACCGUGUAUAAGUUUCCUGGAAUGGAACGUCGUAGAGGGUGAGAAUCCCGUCUUUGACACGGACUACCAGGGCUAUGUGAUGCGCUCUCGACGAGUCGAGUUGUUUGGGAAUGCAGCUCAAAUAGGGUGGUAAAUUCCAUCUAAAGCUAAAUACAGGCGAGAGACCGAUAGCGAACAAGUACCGUGARGGAAAGAUGAAAAGAACUUUGGAAAGAGAGUUAAACAGUACGUGAAAUUGCUGAAAGGGAAACGCUUGAUGUCAGUCGCGUCGGCCGGGGAUCAGCCUUGCUUUACCGCUCGGCGUACUUCCUGGUCGACGGGUCAGCAUCAGUUUUGACCGUCGGAAAAGGACUGGAGGAAUGUGGCACUCUUUCGGGAGUGUGUUAUAGACUCUGCUCGAAUACGAUGGUUGGGACUGAGGAACUCAGCACGACCUUAGGGUUCGGGGCUUCGGCCUACGUUCGCGUGCUUAGGAUGCUGGCAUAAUGGCCUUAAGCGACCCGUCUUGAAACACGGACCAAGGAGUCUAACGUGCAUGC